rnacentral:rRNA from 1 species
GUUGGGUAGGGGAGCGUUCUGUAAGCCUGUGAAGGUGGCCUGUGAGGGUUGCUGGAGGUAUCAGAAGUGCGAAUGCUGACAUAAGUAACGAUAAAGCGGGUGAAAAGCCCGCUCGCCGGAAGACCAAGGGUUCCUGUCCAACGUUAAUCGGGGCAGGGUGAGUCGACCCCUAAGGCGAGGCCGAAAGGCGUAGUCGAUGGGAAACGGGUUAAUAUUCCCGUACUUGGUGUUACUGCGAAGGGGGGACGGAGAAGGCUAUGUUGGCCGGGCGACGGUUGUCCCGGUUUAAGCGUGUAGGUGUGUGUUCCAGGUAAAUCCGGUUCACUUUAACACUGAGGCGUGACGACGAGGCACUACGGUGCUGAAGCAACAAAUGCCCUGCUUCCAGGAAAAGCCUCUAAGCAUCAGGUAACAUCAAAUCGUACCCCAAACCGACACAGGUGGUCAGGUAGAGAAUACCAAGGCGCUUGAGAGAACUCGGGUGAAGGAACUAGGCAAAAUGGUGCCGUAACUUCGGGAGAAGGCACGCUGACACGUAGGUGAAGUGAUUUACUCAUGGAGCUGAAGUCAGUCGAAGAUACCAGCUGGCUGCAACUGUUUAUUAAAAACACAGCACUGUGCAAACACGAAAGUGGACGUAUACGGUGUGACGCCUGCCCGGUGCCGGAAGGUUAAUUGAUGGGGUCAGCGCAAGCGAAGCUCCUGAUCGAAGCCCCGGUAAACGGCGGCCGUAACUAUAACGGUCCUAAGGUAGCGAAAUUCCUUGUCGGGUAAGUUCCGACCUGCACGAAUGGCGUAAUGAUGGCCAGGCUGUCUCCACCCGAGACUCAGUGAAAUUGAACUCGCUGUGAAGAUGCAGUGUACCCGCGGCAAGACGGAAAGACCCCGUGAACCUUUACUAUAGCUUGACACUGAACAUUGAGCCUUGAUGUGUAGGAUAGGUGGGAGGCUUUGAAGUGUGGACGCCAGUCUGCAUGGAGCCGACCUUGAAAUACCACCCUUUAAUGUUUGAUGUUCUAACGUGGACCCGUAAUCCGGGUUGCGGACAGUGUCUGGUGGGUAGUUUGACUGGGGCGGUCUCCUCCUAAAGAGUAACGGAGGAGCACGAAGGUUGGCUAAUCCUGGUCGGACAUCAGGAGGUUAGUGCAAUGGCAUAAGCCAGCUUGACUGCGAGCGUGACGGCGCGAGCAGGUGCGAAAGCAGGUCAUAGUGAUCCGGUGGUUCUGAAUGGAAGGGCCAUCGCUCAACGGAUAAAAGGUACUCCGGGGAUAACAGGCUGAUACCGCCCAAGAGUUCAUAUCGACGGCGGUGUUUGGCACCUCGAUGUCGGCUCAUCACAUCCUGGGGCUGAAGUAGGUCCCAAGGGUAUGGCUGUUCGCCAUUUAAAGUGGUACGCGAGCUGGGUUUAGAACGUCGUGAGACAGUUCGGUCCCUAUCUGCCGUGGGCGCUGGAGAACUGAGGGGGGCUGCUCCUAGUACGAGAGGACCGGAGUGGACGCAUCACUGGUGUUCGGGUUGUCAUGCCAAUGGCACUGCCCGGUAGCUAAAUGCGGAAGAGAUAAGUGCUGAAAGCAUCUAAGCACGAAACUUGCCCCGAGAUGAGUUCUCCCUGAGACUUAAAGUCUCCUGAAGGAACGUUGAAGACGACGACGUUGAUAGGCCGGGUGUGUAAGCGCAGCGAUGCGUUGAGCUAACCGGUACUAAUGAACCGUGAGGCUUAACCUUACAACGCCGAAG